rnacentral:rRNA from 1 species
UACGUAGGGGGCAAGCGUUAUCCGGAUUUACUGGGUGUAAAGGGAGCGUAGACGGCACGGCAAGCCAGAUGUGAAAGCCCGGGGCUCAACCCCGGGACUGCAUUUGGAACUGCUGAGCUAGAGUGUCGGAGAGGCAAGUGGAAUUCCUAGUGUAGCGGUGAAAUGCGUAGAUAUUAGGAGGAACACCAGUGGCGAAGGCGGCUUGCUGGACGAUGACUGACGUUGAGGCUCGAAAGCGUGGGGAGCAAACAGGAUUAGAUACCCUGGUAGUCCACGCCGUAAACGAUGACUGCUAGGUGUCGGGUGGCAAAGCCAUUCGGUGCCGCAGCUAACGCAAUAAGCAGUCCACCUGGGGAGUACGUUCGCAAGAAUGAA